rnacentral:sRNA from 1 species
GGUGAUGGUAGCCAAGCGAAGAACGCGACGUCCUGUCGCAACGCUGGACAAUGAACAUCCUGUGUU